GCCUUGGUGGCGGAAUUGGUAUACGCGCAUGCUUCAGGAGCAUGUGAGAGCAAUCUCUUGGGAGUUCGAGUCUCCCCCAAGGCA
rnacentral:tRNA from 2 species